rnacentral:lncRNA from 1 species
ACUGCGCACCUCUGGGAGUGGUGGGCCAGGCGAAGGUGCCAUAGCGCGCGGCCCAGGCGCUGCUGCUGCAGCAGGAGCUGGCCCGGGGGCUCCCCGGCGCCGCCGUUUACAGGCGAGCGCAGGCCCAUGUUCUCGAAGUAGUGAGCCAGGAAGGCGAUCGGCUCCUCGGGCCGCGCCUCCAGCACCUUCAGCAGGGCCGCACGUAGCAUUUCCGUCACGCCGACCUGCCGCAGGAAGUCCUCCUCGCUCUCGGCCGCCCCCGCCGCCCGGGAUACCGACUGGCGGCCGCUGUCCGUGAAACCGGCCGGCGGUGGUACCGCUUGCCGCCGCUUCUCCACUGCCGCCAUCUUCGCUGAGGGCAGCGGGACCGGAAGCACCGCCAUAUUCCACUGUGCGCUAGAGCCCCCCCAAGGCGGCCAUCUUGAUUAAGGGCAGAGGGCACCGGUAUCCCGCUGGGAGACUUUGGGAAGUGACAAGGGCUUGCCUCUCCUGCCUCAAUCUCCGCAUCUGGAUGAAGGGCUUGGACCAGAACCCCUCCAAGCCCCUUCCCUGGACCACUCUGUGGGAGAAGCCGGCAGGGGCUUCGGGAUUGGACAGAGCGUGAAGGGAGCACCGCCAGGGCACCGGCCCACAUUAAAUGUCUUCAUCCGAGCAUUCAGCAAGGGUUUAUUGAGCACCUGCUAUGCCCCAGGCCCUGUUCUAGCUUCUGUGGACACAGCCGUGCGCGACACAAGAUUCCCACCUGGGGAGCCACAGUGGGAGAAGG